GGUGGCUCAGUGGUAGAGCGCUUGCCUUGCAUGCAUCAGGCCCUGAGUUCGAUUCCUAGUACCA
rnacentral:tRNA from 1 species